rnacentral:rRNA from 1 species
CGAGAAAGGGCUUCGGCCCCGGUACAGUGGCGCACGGGUGAGUAACACGUAGGUAACCUGCCCUUGAGUGGUGGAUAACAUCCCGAAAGGGGUGCUAAUACAGCAUGAGACCACGGUUUCGAGAGAAACAGAGGUUAAAGCGGGCCUCUUCAUGCAAAGCUCGCGCUCGAGGAUGGGCCUGCGGCGCAUCAGCUAGUUGGUAGGGUAAUGGCCUACCAAGGCGAAGACGCGUAGCUGGUCUGAGAGGAUGAUCAGCCGCACUGGAACUGAGACACGGUCCAGACUCCUACGGGAGGCAGCAGUGGGGAAUUUUGCGCAAUGGACGAAAGUCUGACGCAGCGACGCCGCGUGGGUGAUGAAGGCCUUCGGGUUGUAAAGCCCUGUGGGGAGGGAAGAAUAAGGUAUGGUUAAUACCCAUAUUGAUGACGGUACCUCCUUAGCAAGCACCGGCUAACUCUGUGCCAGCAGCCGCGGUAAGACAGAGGGUGCAAACGUUGUUCGGAAUUACUGGGCGUAAAGGGCGUGUAGGCGGCCACGCGGGUCGGAUGUGAAAGCCCUGGGCUUAACCUAGGAAGUGCAUUCGAAACUGCGCGGCUAGAGUCCCGGAGAGGAUGGUGGAAUUCUCGGUGUAGAGGUGAAAUUCGUAGAUAUCGAGAGGAACACCGGUGGCGAAGGCGGCCAUCUGGACGGGUACUGACGCUGAGACGCGAAAGCGUGGGUAGCAAACAGGAUUAGAUACCCUGGUAGUCCACGCCGUAAACGAUGGGUGC